UCCGGCUUACCACCGGCGGUCCCAUUAGAGUGCCCAGCCAAACCUGUUGGCAACUAAAGACGAGGGUUGCGCUCGUUGCGGGACUUAACCCAACAUCUCACGACACGAGCUGACGACAGCCUUGCAGCACCUGUGUGUAGGUCCCGUAAGGGAAGGAAUCCAUCUCUGGAAACCGUCCUACCAUGUCAAACGCUGGUAAGGUUCUGCGCGUUGCUUCGGAUUAAACCACAUGCUCCACCGCUUGUGCAGGCCCCCGUCAAUUUCUUUGAAUUUUAACCUUGCGGCCGUACUCCCCAGGCGGAUGACUUAACGCGUUAGCUGCGCCACCGGAACGCUAAGCGCCCCGACAGCUAGUCAUCAUCGUUUACGGCUAGGACUAC
rnacentral:misc_RNA from 1 species